ensembl:lncRNA
GAGGAUCUCUCACCUGCCACCCGUCCCUCCACCCCCUCCCACUUCACGCAGCCCUAUUUCAGGAAGGAAUGGAGCUUAAAAUAACUGCUGUGGAGGAGCAAGGUCAGAUAAUAAUAACUGACAUUUACAUAGCCCUUUAAAACGUUUGAAGUGAUUUCCAUGCAUAAGCUUAUUUGGGCCUCAUAGAAGUCAUGCCAGAGUGGAAGUGCAGCUUGGUUUCCCACCUUGGAAGAGAAAGUUUGGUUAAAAUGGCUCCAAUCUUGAAAAGAUGAGCUGUGUUUCCCUCUAGAUGUCUGAGUUCCUGGAAAACCUUUGGACAACAUUCUAUACUAGUUUCAGGCCUCGUGGCCCUGAAGACAUCCUUGGUGCAAUUAACCAUUUGGAACCACCAUAUAGGCUUUCCUGCACUGGGAAAACUACACUGAUGUUAAACCAGGGAGUUUGGAAGUAAGUCAAAGUCUCCUGAACAAUUUGGACUGACUCCAAAACCAUGACUGAUGGCUUGAUUUAUAAAUGCUAACAAACAGCUAGCUUCCUGGGACAGUGUAGACAGAUUUGGUGUUAGUGAAUAGCUCCCCGAAACAAUAUGGACAAGCAUAACAUUAGUGAAUGGCUCACUGGGACAGUAUAGAGGACUCUAAUGCUAACAAAUAACUCCUCAGGACAGUGUAGAUGAGCACAGUGUUUGAGAAUAGCUCUCUAGGACUUGGCACCUGGAUUACUGUUGGACAAUAUGAACUUUCUAUUCUGAGUCUUCUGUAGCUGAAGCUAUUGUACCUGCAGGAGCAGUGGCCAGGCUGCAUAGUCACAAAGGGAUGGUGGUUGAGAAUCUUGGGCAAAGUCCAUUGUUGGACUCAAGGUUCUAGGGUUCUAAUGCUGUCUCCAUUAGGAUCUGGGGAGGGGGAGUGGAGACAUGAUAGUCAAUGUGGUGAUGAUGUUUUGACUUAUCUGGCACAUGUUGGCUCCUAUUUUUCCCUCAGGGCUCCUUGCCUACCUUGUGGGUGAUGGUUGGCCCCUUUCCCACAGAAAUUGCCUUCUGAGAUGGUGGCUUUGAUUGCUGGGCUGGAAGCAGGAUUGUCUGCCUAUUGAUAGCUUGGUAGAUGGUCAGUAGUUAUUCCUUGUGGUGAUGGGGAAGGUGGACCCUUUCUCUAAUGAUUUCUCCCCUCAAAGAUAGAUGUAGUAGCUGAUUUAGAAGUAGGUCUGGUGGUUUGGAGUAUGCUAUUAUUCCCAAGUUUCUUGGAUUCAGGAUUUUGAACCUGUUGCUUUCCUGGACUUCCUGGUAGCUCCCCAAAAUUCAUUACCUGCAAGAAGAAACUCAUUGACUUUGAAACUCUUAUCUCCUCUGUGUCCUCUCGCCAUGACUGAGACACUUUCUUCCCUGUGAUUGGAGAAGGUAAAGGGUGGACAUUGGAGAACUUCUCCCAGAUCUUACAUUUAAGGAGGGUCUACAGGUAGCUAUCUCAUCAUUUCCCAUCAGGUUCCUAGCUGCAAGACUUCAGCAUGUUCCUAGAUGCUGGGUAUCCCCUUGCCUCUUUCCUUUUUUUUUUCUCAGCUUUUUGUAUAUUGUUUUUUCAUAUUAUAAUGUAAGCUCCCUGAGGUCCAGGACCUUCUUUGCCUGUCUUUAUACAGGGCUUAGCAGAGUGCCAGGUAUGUAGUAGGCACUUAAUAAACGUUUAUUGACCAGUGACUAUUGUUUCA